rnacentral:rRNA from 1 species
GACGAACGCUGGCGGCGUGCUUAACACAUGCAAGUCGAACGGUGAAGGGACCGGUUUUUGCUGGUUCUGGAUGAGUGGCGAACGGGUGAGUAACACGUGAGUAACCUGCCCCCUUCUUCUGGAUAACCGCAGGAAAGUGUGGCUAAUACGGGAUAUUCUGCGCCUGCUGCAUGGUGGGGGUGGUAAAGAUAUUGUUUCGGUGGGGGGUGGGCUCGCGGCCUGUUAGUUUGUUGGUGGGGUGAUGGCCUACCAAGGCGGUGACGGGUAGCCGGCGUGAGAGGGUGGACGGUCACGCUGGGAGUGAGACACGGCGCAGACUAGUACGGGAGGCAGCAGUGGGGAAUAUUGCACGAUGGGAGCAAGCCUGAUGCAGCGACGGCGCGUGAGGGAUGGAGGCCGUCGGGUUGGAAACCUCUUUCGCCAGUGAAGCAGGCCUGUCCCUUUUGUGGGUGGGUUGACGGUAGCUGGAUAAGAAGCGCCGGCUAACUACGU